CUUGCGCAUGCUACGCAUUUGUGGUUACAUCGCUGGCUCGAGAGGUCGAUUAUAUAGCACAUAAUCAUUUGAAUUGAUAAUGAGGAUUGGAAUACAAUAUUGAAGCUAUAACGAGGCUAUUGUAAAAUUCCACGGAAAAUAAGGAUAAAAAUGACAAGCGAGUGAAAAAAGAAAGCAAAUAUGGCGGAUGUUCAUUAACCAGGGUCCAGUUAUUGCGGAUUCACCAUUACAGAUAGGAGAACAGAAUAUUUCAGAUGGUGGUCAUUCGUCGUGUAAAAUUUCGCAGCUCGUUCGUGGUUAUCUCUGGCGCACUUCAAGAUAUCUUCUAUUUAUUUCGCCCCUGGGAGUUCUCAUGGCGGCUGUUCGUUAGAGCCACGGACUGUUCUCGAAUUUCCACCCCGUUAGAAUGAAAUCCUCCCUUUCUGUUUCACCGGUGAACGCGUUGCACAGUUCCCAUGAGCGUUUGCCCUGCGAUCGCAUGAAAAGUGAUUUCUGCCUCGUCCUCUUCACCCUUCGUUUCUCCAGCGACCUGCAAAUACUUCGCAGAUUGCUUAUGCGCAACGCAAA